CCUACGGGUGGCAGCAGUGGGGAAUAUUGGACAAUGGGGGAAACCCUGAUCCAGCGACGCCGCGUGAGCGAAGAAGUAUUUCGGUACGUAAAGCUCUAUCAGCAGGGAAGAAAAUGACGGUACCUGACUAAUAAGCCCCGGCUAACUACGUUCCAGCAGCCGCGGUAAUACGUAGGGGGCCAGCGUUAUCCGGAUUUACUGGGUGUAAAGGGAGCGUAGACGGCAGCGCAAGUCUGGAGUGAAAGGCCGGGGCCCAACCCCGGGACUGCUCUGGAAACUGUGAGGCGGGAGUGUGUGAGAGGUAGGCGGAAUUCCUGGUGUAGCGGUGAAAUGCGUAGAUAUCAGGAGGAACACCGGUGGCGAAGGCGGCGUACGGGACUGUAACUGACGUUGAGGCUCGAAGGCGUGGGGAGCAAACAGGAUUAGAUACCCGGGUAGUC
rnacentral:rRNA from 1 species